rnacentral:rRNA from 1 species
CCUACGGGGGGCUGCAGUGAGGAAUAUUGGUCAAUGGACGAGAGUCUGAACCAGCCAAGUAGCGUGAAGGAUGACUGCCCUAUGGGUUGUAAACUUCUUUUAUAGGGGAAUAAAAUGUGGCACGUGUGGGAUUUUGUAUGUACCAUAUGAAUAAGGAUCGGCUAACUCCGUGCCAGCAGCCGCGGUAAUACGGAGGAUCCGAGCGUUAUCCGGAUUUAUUGGGUUUAACGGGAGCGUAGGUGGAUUGUUAAGUCAGUUGUGCAAGUUUGCGGCUCACCCGUAAAAUUGCAGUUGCAACUGGCAGUCUUGAGUACAGUACAGGUGGGCGGAAUUCGUUGUGUCGCGG